rnacentral:misc_RNA from 1 species
GGUAGCCGUAGGAAAACCUGCGGUUGGAUCACCCCCUUUCUAAGGAAUAAUUACGGAACCUGUACAUUUAUCGAAUACUUGGUUU